AAUUCACUAGUGAUUAGAGUUUGAGCAUGGCUCAGGACAAACUCUAAUCGAAUUCCCGCCACAUGCAAGUCGAGCGGGAACCGGAGGCUUCGGGGAUCAGCGGCCUACGGUGAGUAACAUUGGCAACCUGCCCUCAGCUCUGGGAUAACUCCGGGAAACCGGGGCUAAUACCGGAUACGACUUCCUGCGGCAUCUCGGGAAGUGGAAAGUUUUUCGGCUGAGGAUGGGCCCGCGGCCUAUCAGCUUGUUGGUGGGGUAACGGCCCACCAAGGCGACGACGGGUAGCCGGCCUGAGAGGAUGAUCAGCCACACUGGGACUGAGACACGGCCCAGACUCCUACGGGAGGCAGCAGUCGGGAAUCUUCCGCAAUGGGCGCAAGCCUGACGGAGCGACGCCGGUGAGGUGAGGCCUUCGGGUUGUAAAGCUCUGCAGGGAAACGCACUGGGAAACAACCAAUAUGGACGACCUGCAAGCGGCCGCUAAC
rnacentral:rRNA from 1 species